UCAGAUAAAGACAUGUGGACGCGGUCAGAAGAACUCACUAACAAGUUUUAAGUAGAGGAGUGAUAUGAUAUGAUUUGUCUUCUGAAAGGCUGGCUCUGCCCGCAGGUACCAGCCAGAUGGGACGGGAUCAGACUGGAUGUGGCAAAAUCAGUGAGAUCGUGGUGGCACCAGUGACAAUGGGAGAAGUUGACGGGCAGAUCUGACACAUUUGAUACUUAGGAGGAAUACAGCUUGGCAAAAACACAUCCAAGGACACCACGUGUGAUUUCCUCCGUGCUGAUUUUGGAAGCUGGAAUGUUUCUGCAUACGCGCAUCAGCAACAUCUAAGCCAACACUCCUCUGAGAGAUUUUCUUCAGACAACGGGGGUAUGUUGGUGGCAGACACAAAGCUGGAACUUACUGACCCUAGGAGCUUUGAGAACAUUCUGCAAUUUACUGGCCACAGCACAGAAUUUUUUCUUCAGUACUACUUGGCUGACCGGAGUUCAAUGUCUCCUCUAGGUGAGUUCCAAAUGCUUUUGAAAGUAGUGGGAAGGUUAUACCUCUGAGCACAGUCAAGAUAUUUAAGGUGAAACUUGUGUUUAUGUGUUGUUCGUAUUUGUACAUGUGUGUAUAUGAGCGUGCAUAUGUGUUUAUGUACAUGAGUGUGUGUGUUAAGAAGAGGUUGAAGAAUUCCUUCUAGAAUGCAAAUAUUUUUUAUUUACCAUUACUUCUCAACAGAAUAAUGGAAUGAUUCAUUUUAAGUACUCAUAAGAGGAGAAUGUGUUUGCAUAUAUAGACUAUGCAAAAAUAUAUGUAGGAGACUAUAAUAAAAUGCAUUUAAAGAAAUUUUUUAAUGCUUUAUUUUUGAGACAGAGAGGGAUAGAGCAUGAACAGGGAAGGGGCAGAGAGAGAGGGAGA